CGCUAUAAAAUGUGACGCUCUUCUUCCGGUGUCUCUCUCAGCUUCAACCUGUCUGCGAUUGCUUGUGAAGAAGUGUGGCUUAAAACUAGGGAAUUCUUAGGCCUCUCCGUGUUUGUAGAGUAUAGUAACUGACAUAUGCAGUAUGGUUUCGGAUGGAAUAAAAGGUCCUCUUGUGAACGGUCUGGCCAAUCGGGCUUCAGAACAAAAUGUGGGUGAAUAAUCCUGGGAGUGAAUACAUAAAAUGCAUGUUUUGCAUCUGAAGAAGCUUGUCCUAAUGGUGUGAUCUGAAGGAUGUCCACUAGAAGGCGCAACACCCCGUUUUUGGUGAUUGGAGAUCCUGAGAUGAAUUUGUGUGGAGCAGCACUUGCCACGAACCAAGCUGUUUUUGAUGCGAACUUUCCUGCACAGCCUCUCUAGUGCAGAGCAGGUGUGCUUUCAAUUCUCUCACAUACCCAACAUGUCAUCCCCAGGAUAACGGAACACUGCGACCUACUCCUUUUAGAAGCCUUGUGACAUUGUUUCAAUAGCUCAGUGUGUCUUGAUAAUCCUGAUGUGUCAGUGUUGUGCCCACAGGUCCCAUAUGGCUAGAUUGAAGAAUGAAUGCUGGCAGGCUAUCGUUCUUCCAGUACUGUAAAAUGAAAAGUUUGGAGUUGGAGUGAAGGGAUUCCCAGCCAGACUUUUCUUGAAAGUUGUUGCUGGUGAGGAGAUACUGCACAGGGAAGCUGUAAACCUUCUGCUUUGGAAUGUUUUGUGGUGAUGCAGUUUUCAAUAAAUUAAGUGUGAAAGGUA